rnacentral:lncRNA from 1 species
UAACUUUAUCCUAGCAAUUUUAGUGAUUUUUAAUAUACAUACUUAUACUUCAUAUCAGAAAUGUUGGGAUCAUUGAACCCCAACUUAUGGUAUAUCUUCCAGUGCUAUUAAUUUUAAUACAAAUAAUUAUUUUAACUAUAUAAAAUUUUGCGACACUAAUUAUUACAAUAUAUAUAUAUAUAUAUAUAUAUAAAAGAAUAUUUUAAGAAUAUAACGUUGUUAUACAUAAUAUAAAAAAAUGAGCAUGUGUUCAUGUGCACCAUGUUGCGCCACAUAGAUAAGGUAUGUUGUAUGUGUGUAUGUUUUUGGUUACUUCCUAUAUCUUGAGGCUUUCGCGUGAUUUGAGUUUUUCUCAUGUCCGUAUUAUAUGAUUUGAUUUUCUUUUUUCCAUUAUUAUACCCCUCUUUCACAUUUCUGAAUGACAUUACACUAUAAAAGAAAGAAAUCCCAGUUUGUCAUGGCUGUGUUUGCUCGGUUCUUUUCUUUAUGAUCAAUCAGUACAUAUUUGCUGUCAUAUCAAACCUUAGUUUUCUUAUUUUCUGCUUUAUAUAUAUAGGACAUGACACUUCAAUAUUUCACACGGACUAUAAAAAUCUUGGGUUCACUAAUUCAAGCUCGAACCAAGACUAGGGGUUCGACCUAACACCGAGCUCGAGCCAGUGCCAAGCUCGCAGACAAGAGCCGUUACAAUCGCAUCGAGGGAGAGAAUCUUGACGAGAAUCAAGGAAGAGACAAACCAUCAUGGGUCAUCCACUAUAUGUAUUAUUUUAUUAUGUUGUUAUAGAUAAAGCAGCUAUCCUCUACUAUAAAAAGGGGGAUAGACUGCAAUAGAGGCAAGUUCUCCAAGAUACAUUAAGAUUUCAUUGUGUUUGUUUUUCUAAUUCAUUUCAGUCUUCCCGUCCAUCAUUCCCAUUUUAUAGCAAAAAUACCUGUAUUGUCAUUUCGUAUCAAAGGGAUUCGCUUACCCUUAGAACCAUAUCUAAAUUUAACAUUAUCCGAUUUUUCGUGUAAACAAGAGCUAAACCCAUGCAUCUCAUGUAGUGUUAUUUUAGUUACCCCGAAAAGCUGGAUCUUUGCGUGUUUGGUAUUGAAAAUCCUUAUGUGUUCAGGAAAGCUCAUCUCAGAACUCGACUUACGAUCAAUAAGCGCUCGGAACACAUCCCUUCUCUUCGAUACUCUUGUCAAGGAGUUGUCCUAUUUAUAGAUUUUAAGUGGGACUCUACUUAUUAUGUUUUGAACCCGCUAACACAAGAGGAAGUAACAGUACAACAUACACUUCAUCCAGGCUGCUUAUGUGCUCUUUAUUUUUGUCCAUUAACAAGACAAUUCAAGCUUCUUUAUGAACAAGAGCGAGGCAGUUGCUUUCAAUAUUUAGUAUACAUAUUCAAGACGAGAACUUGGAGAAAAAUUCCUUCAUCCACUUUCAACUUGUUGCCACAUUACUUUCCAGUAGAUGUUAAUGGAGCAUUGCAUUGGAUCACGCACCUUGAUUCAGAGGAAAAAGGUAGUCCUAUUUGUGCAAAUGCAAUCAUGGUGUUUAGAAUGGAUAAGGAGGAACUCUCUUCUAUGCCUCAUCCUGGAAGUGUGUGCAACUCAGAGCAAUUAGGGCAUCAUAGUAUGACUGUCUUAGCGAAGGAGGAUCGUUUGGCUUUGUGUCACUUGCAUAUUUAUCGGUAUGCAGUGGAUAUAUGGAUCUUGGAGGAAUAUGAAAUGAGGAGAUGGAGAAAAAGGUACAAGGUUAAUCUCAUUCAUGAGACAAUUUUCCCGUUUCGUUUCCCUUUCAACGAAAUACGAUGGCUUAGGGAGCUGUAUUUGUGGAUAAAUCUUUUGAGCAUCCAAGAUGGUGAACUCCUACUUUACAUAUACGGCAAGGGGUACUUUUUGUAUAAUUUAGAUCAUAAUACCAUAAAGAGUAUCGAAGGGCCGCAAGGGGAAAUGUUUUCACAGAGACUCAAUUGUAGUAGGCCUUAUAUAAAGAGCCUCCUCACUAUUGCCUGACUUUGCGCUCUUUUAAUCUUAUGCAUUAAUUUCAUUUCUAAUCAUUGUGAUGUUGUUUUCAAUUAUCACAUGGUGUUUUUAACAUAGUUGGUACACUUGGUAGUUUUGUGCAUAUUUUAGAGGUGGGAUGCAGCUUAUUCCAUUUGCCUCAAACGCUGAAAUACUACUCUAGAGGAGAUGGCAAAUCUUAUGACCUAAAUAAACAAGCUGGUGGGGCAUGCAUGCAUGAUUAUCUUAAAGGAUUUUGAUUGUCAAAUUGACUAGACUUUUCUCUAAACUCGCCUAUACAUUAUACUUUGUGAUAAAGUAAGGUGCUUUCAGUUUGGUUCAGUCUUGUUCCAACCCAUCCAAAUUUGUGUUUCGAGGCACAUAAAUACAUGUAACACGGUUAUGUCAAUGUCAGUUAGAGUAGAGGUUCCAUGUGUUUGUGGUUUAAUUUCUUGCAUAUGGGAAUUGAAAAGGAAGAACUCAAAGAGAGAGCAUCGAACUAUGACUCUCUUACUGAAAGGCAUGUUUUUGAGUAUGCAUGCAGUGGAUAUAUGGAUUUUGGAGGACUAUGAAAAGCGGAAAAAGGAGCAAAAGCUACAGGGUUAAUCUCUUAAUUGGAUGAGAACAAUUAAUAUUCCCUUGUUGAUUGCCUUACAGCCAAAUGGAUAAAGGGAAAUGUUUGUGGAAAUAAACUGAUAUUUUACUUGUCUGACAGAGUGUAUUCCCUUAUAUAAAGAGUCUCCUGCCCACAGCCUAAUUACUCCUCUCGCUCUUUAUCUUUCUAAUUUCUGUUGUUGCUUUUAAUUAUCAAAUGGUACUUGUAGCUGAAUUGGUAGUAUUGUGCAUAAUGUAUGUUUAAGCGUCGAUCCAGCUUAUAAUUAUUCCUUUCGCCCCCAAAUGCUGAAAUAUAAUUCUAAAGGGUCGUUUGGGGUAAAAACAAGUUAUACUAAUACAUGGAUUAAUAAUGCAGGAAUUAGUAAUACGCAGAUUAAUAAUACUUUCAAAACUGAUAUACUUUGCGAUUUCAUGACUCACUUUGCAUGCUUUAAUCUAGUUUUACCAUCUAGACGACCAUAACUCAAGUCCCAUCGUUUUUUUUUAGCCAAUUACAUAGACAACCCUUUAAAGUUGAUGCUAAUUUUUAUUUUAACACAUCAAUUUACAUUUGUACUUAUUGAACACUUAAUUUAUUAUUAAAGCUUGCCUAUUGAACACAAAACAUUGAUAUGGCACAAAGAAUGACUCUAACUUAUAUUUGGGCGCGCGAGCACUUUCUACUAUACUUUCAUGGCUAAAGAAAAUACCAUCAUCCUUUAUCUCUAACACCUUCUUGUUCCUCCAUCUCGCUCCUCCUUUCCUCCUAUCUCAAUAAUGUGGAGGUGAGAAGGGAGGUAGGGAAGACAAAGGUGGCGACAAUGUGGCCAAGGGAGGUAAGAGGGGGGUGAGGAGGUAGUGUGAUAGGCUAUAUGUAUAUCCCUUUUAUGUUUUGAUGAUCUAAAAUACUUACUGUUAAGAACGAGAUAUGGAAUCUGUUACACAUUCUCAAGACCUUAAGAUCAAAAGGUUCCAGCUUGGGAUAUGGUUCAACUUUUCAGAGUCAAAGGAACAACAUAGGGAACAAAUAGCUACCGUUUCCCGAGGAAACUGCACAAGUCAACUGCCCCAGCUGUAAAGUUACUGUCUGCACAUGCUACAGUGCAACAGUCAACUUUAUGGGGAGUGUCUUUUACCUACCUUGCUUACAUCAUCCUAGUGANNNNNNNNNNNNNNNNNNNNNNNNNNNNNNNNNNNNNNNNNNNNNNNNNNNNNNNNNNNNNNNNNNNNNNNNNNNNNNNNNNNNNNNNNNNNNNNNNNNNNNNNNNNNNNNNNNNNNNNNNNNNNNNNNNNNNNNNNNNNNNNNNNNNNNNNNNNNNNNNNNNNNNACUUUGUAAUAGUUCUUCAAUUGUAAUUCCUACUUAGCUUGUUUAGAAGCAUUGCGUAGGAAACCCUUUGUAAAUCCUAAACCCUUGUGUUUGUGUCUUGGCUAGAGUUAGUCGAGUUUUAAAGUCUUUGUAAUAGAGUUAUUACAAAGUGGCUUGUAAUCGAGUGUUACAAGUUAGUGAGGGAUUAAGAGGUUAAUUCCUAGGUUACAUAGGUUGUAUCUGAAAGUUGCUUAGUAGUGAAAUUGAAAUCCUACAAGGGUAGGUUGUGGUUUUUAAUCCCGUUGAGUUGGGAAUUUUCCACGUAAAAUUCCUCCUGUCAUUUACUCACUGCAGUGUGCGUGAUUUCUGUGGGAACUUAUAGAGAACUUGGUUCUCUAUAUAGUUUGGUUGACCCUUAAAUUCUACCACAGUGGGUCUAAUCUAAAGAGUAAAGGAGGAGUAUUCUUUUUAUUGAUAUGACUUUCUUUGAUUGGUUAUAUAGCCACACAAGGGCGGAGCUAGUAGAGACCUUCCUAUCUGGCCCCACACUUCAAAUGACCUCUUCUCCACUAGUUCUGUCUACAAACUCAUUGUCCCUAGUGACACCAAUUAUCAAUGGAUUUGGGACCUUUAUACGCUAAACAAAAUUAAAGUUUUCCUUUGGCAAUGCUUCCGUGGGCGCCUUCUUACUAAUAAUUUGUACCACAUGCCCUGUCUGUAAUCGUAGAGAUAAAUCCAUCCGCCACAUCUUCCUAGAGUGCAUCAUUGCAAAGCAUUUUUGGACAGAUAUUAAAGUCACUAUUCCUCCACAAUCAUACCAUAAUCACUGGCUACUCAUACUGAAGGAUCUCCGGAGUCCUCUAACCAAUCCCCUCUUACCGUCUUACGUUGGGACGUUUUCUUCCCCUUUGUAUUAUGGCACCUAUAGCUUAAUAGGAAUAUAUCUUCAAUAAUUUAGCCAACACACUCAAUCUGGGACUUGUCAUCAUGCGAUCCUUAGAGUUCCAGACCAGUCCGAUUUGAGGAGUAGGGUAAAGGGUACUGAAAGUGUACCUAAAAAAGUACCCUUAGAACCGAUCUGAACCGGUACCCUUAGAACUAUUUAAUUUUUAAGAAAUAGCUGGCCGUUUUGUACCAUUAGUAAACAUCUAUUUAUUAAAAGAUAGCCAUUGGCAACAACAAAAAAAAGGCUAUUUUUGCCUUCGUGCCCUCUAAUACCCCCAACCCUUAAUUUUGUUUUUAAACCAUAAAUUUAUUAAAUUACACAUUGGUCCUAUUUUAAAACUAUAAAUGCCUCUUUUCAUUCAUUCAUUUUUCACACAAAGCUCUCUUAUCUAUCUCUAUCUCUCUCGUUCUAAAUGCAAUUUAUAUUCUAUCACUCUAUUAUUUUGCUCUAAUUCUGUAAUAUUUUUUCCUUGAUACUACACCACUAUUUCUUCCAUCAACAUCAAUUAUACGUCAGCAUCUGAUACACUUUUUCCAAUUUUAAUUCGCUAUCGCAUUUAUUUUUGUUAUACCGGUAUUGCUAUUUGUUCUGAGAAAAAUGGCUCCUAGAGAUGUAAGAAAAAUAUUUAGUAAAUUGACUAAGGGUAAUGCUAGUUCUAGUAAUCCUAAUCCUAUUGUUGACUUCACUCACGUAGAUGGAAUACCUUUAUAUUAGUAUUAAUUAUCAAUCACUUGUAUACGAAGCGCUAGAAGCACAAUAUUGCGAUUUUGAGAAUUUGAGUGAGGAUGAAGGAGAAAGAAUGAUAACUUAGAUGAAACAUCCACUAGUCGGCCAACUUCAACUUAGAGUCAAUUUCAAUUUGGAGUUGGUGGUCCUUUACCUCCUACUAGACAACCAGUUGAGCAUAAAAAAAAUUUGAAAAUGGUUUACUCAGGAUAAAGCUAAUGAAUAGGCUAUUCGUGCUUUUAUAAAUAACGAUUAUCUUUUAAAGAUAGAGUAGGUCAUGGCGGGCUGGUGGUUUAAAAAAGAAUAUGAAAAUUCAUCAUAAAGAGGUUUGGCUUGUUGGGAAGGGCGUCCGCGUUGCGAUUCAAUUCCCACCCAGUCCAGACAUGGUUCUCAUACUGUGCAAUCGCAAAUUAACCAUGUGACUGUAGGUAACCAAAACACUAGAGUUGUGUAAAAAUAUUACCAAAUAUUAAUUAUCACUGUAGCGCCAACUACUUCUACCUAUUCAUCAUCAUCGCAACCUCUUGAAAAAAUGCAGCACAGAGACCUUUUAGUGUUAUUCGACAAAUGAUUAGUCAAUCUCAAUCUUCACAAAUUAACGAGCUUGAUGUUUAUAUAAUGCAAGAAAUUAUUGAUAUUUGUGAUGAUGAAGAAAAUAAAAACUUACUAAAAUAUUGGAGAAUCGACGAACUAACAUUUUUGAUUAUUUCAAGAAUGACAAGAGAUGUGUUAACUAUUCCAGCUUCAUCAAUAGCUUCUGAAAGCACUUUCAGAGCAACACGAUUUUAAAUUGGAGACCACAGAUACUCGAUGGCAGAAGAUACCUUAGAGAAUAACGCCUUAUUUAAAGAUCAGAUUAAGGCGGAGAGAAGAAACUUUGGCCUUCCAAAAAAUAAUUCAAGAAGAUGAUGAUGCUUAUAAUGAAAUAGUUGUAUAGGAUAAAAUUGGUUAGCGAUCGAUAGUUGGACUAAUACCGAGAUGACACAUAAAACUGAAGACAGGUAAGAAGUGAAUCAAAUAAUAGUUGGCACCGCAUACAAGCAUGUGACCGGUGCUGAGUGAAUUCCAAAGGAAUUAAAAUCGAGAACAAAGAUUUAAAAGGAAGAUGUCGGUUGGGAAAGACAGCAUUCAAUGAACGUCUGUUACAAAGAAUCUUAUAUUAAUGACCAACAAUUAUGCAGUCUUUUCUCAUUCAAAAGGAGCUUGAUUUGCGGGCCUUGUCUCCCUAAAUAGAGCUAUAAAUAUGAGAAUUAUAAUCCAUUGUAAGACACGAAAAUAUCAUCUGUACUCAAAGGCUAUAUUUUGCUCUCAUAUUGUAAAAUUAUUUGCUUUCUUUUGUUCUCAAAAUUGUUCAUAUUAUUGCUUCCGGGGAGGCUCAUCAUAUAAUCAGGCUUGUAUUUAUUUUAUAAUCUUUACUUUAUCUUUAUUUAUCUCAUAUUUUUGGAUCAAAAUUAUUCACUUACCUAUAAACCACGUUACAAAUUUAACUGUAUCGUUUUAUGGGUAAACAGUUUGGCACCCACCGUUGGGCCUAGACAAUUAUAAUUGCUUUGAUCCAUUCAUCUGUUACUAAUGUUGGAGUACACAACGAACGUGAGUAUGUGUUCCAACGUAAUGAUUCAACUAGCGAAACCCGCAAUGAAGGAGAUGGAAUAACUCCAGUUCGUGAAGGGUCAAAAUCCUUGGCACGUGAGGAACCCAACUCUUGAUGAUGCGGAUGAUGAACACAUUGUGGAAACGUUCAAAAUCUUGAGAGAACAACAAAGGAAAAUUAUGAAUCACCUCUCAAGGUAAGACCACAUGAUGACGGAGUUGAAGCAUGCGCUCUCGGUUAUUUCCAAUAAUUCUAAUGGAGGAGUUUGAAUUCCUCACAGCGUGCCUGCAAAUCAAACAGUUCAAAGAACCGGUAAUGACGCUCCAAGGGAGGAGUUCGAUUUUAACGAGGCAGUAGGUACCGGUAGUGGAUUUUGGAACGACAACAAUGCUAAUGGCCCUUUUAAAACCGAGCUUAUGAGAUUCAUGAGAAAAAUGAAUGAACGAAUGGAUCAAAAUGCUAAAAAAAAUCCAUGCUCUGAUGGAUCAUAUCUCUUGAGCGUCGUCGGUGCUAAAGGGACCGGAUUCCAAGAAGUAUACACAAUUGUCGUUCAAACCAAGUGCAACCUUAGAGUUGAUUCCAAAAAGGUUUAAGAUGCCGGAUAUUCCGAAGUAUGAUGGGACUUCGGAUUCACAGGAACAUAACACGACCUACUUUAUGGCUAUAAAGGGAAAUGACUUGUCCCAGCACGAGAUAAAAUCUGUCUUGUUGAAGAAAUUUGACGAAACCCUGACGAAGGGUGCUUUAACUUGGUAUUCCCUUUUACCUGAGCAUUGUUAUACCCCAUGUUAACACGUGUCAAAACUAAGUAUAACAUAUUGGCAUAUCCAAGGUUUAAUUAAUUAAUAGAGUCGUCACCUAAUUAUUUUAACAGUGAAUUAGGACACCAAUUUUAGCUAAAUAAUGCUUAAAGUUAACUCAAUUUUAUGGUUUGCUUAAACUUAAAAAUUCUAGGUAAGGGUUCUAAUUAAUCCUAUCGGGAAGGUUAUUAAGACACCCUAUAUGAUCCACUAAUUACGGUUAACCGGUCAAACUUUAGGUUGUUAAUUAAUAAGUAAAAAUAGAAAGCUAUCAAAAUCUGAUUAAAGAAAACUUAUCGUUUUACGAAGCGGUGAGAACUUGUUUUCAAAGAAAAGUUUUAUGAAAAAAAGGUUUUGUUUCUUUUAAAUUAUAUUUGACUCAAAUUUUGUAUUAAGAAAUCUGACUGUUAAGUGAUAAAGGAACUUGGUUUAAGACUGAUUUACAAAUUGAUGCCUCCUAAAUCUAAUAUCUUGUAUAAAAAAUUAGUAUAGCAAAUUAUUUUAAAUCUCUUGACUUUAAAAUCUUUAAAGUAGAAGUUGUAUAAAAAUAAGUAUUUUACUAAUAAUUAGUCUGGAGAUACUAUGUGAUUUAAUAAGGCAUAGCUAUUUAAUUCUAUGUUAAUAAUAAGCUCCAACAAAAAUCUCAAAAUAGGACGAUAAAUAAAAGAAGGACGCCAUAGACGGCUAGACGCCCCGAGCGUUUCGCUUGUUUUCUUGCUAUCUGGUGCACUCUAUGGAAGACGAUAUGGGAUGCGAUGACUCCAUGCUCGGGCACUGUUGAGUCUCGAGUGAGACUCCGGCCGGUUUUGCUCCAAGUGCAUAUGCAAAGAAAAGAAAAUUAGAGAAGAAAACAUAAUUCUUAAUACAUGUGACGAUGAAACAUACAAGUCAAGAAUGACAAUUAUCUCCUUAAAUCUGAAAUAUUCCACGAACUAGAACGAAACAGUAGUAUACUACAUACAAGCAAUUCUACUUUAAAACAGCACUCUAAGUGCCUUUUUGAAGUUUUUCUUUUUAGAUCAACCUAACAAACAAAGUGGGAUUUACACUUCCUUAAGGCCAUUAACAACAGUUAAACUUGACUCUUAAAGGUACAUAGGAGAUGACAGCAGCAAAAACCAUACUUUGUUCAACAAACACAUGCUAACAGGUUUCACUUUUACCAUUAAUACUUAAGAUAUCAUAUAUACAUGCUAUCAUGAUUACUAACUUAUUAUUUAACAAUCAUAUGAUCCUUAAGUGCAGGCAGAAUUGAUAUCAAUUCCUGAAGGGGGUGUUUAGCACAUAGCCCUGCACUCACACUUAACUAGUUAUUAGGGAUGUCAUGUGAACCAUGUUAUAAUGAAGAAACAAUAAUAUUUCUUAAGGUAUACUAGUAGGUUCCUAUUUUGUUUAUGAAUUUGAUUUCAUUACAGUGAAGGAGCACAAAUAGAUUUUUUUUAAAAAGAAUUCAGGUUCUUUGUCAUCAACAGAUUGUCUCAAACUGAAGUAUUACUAUGCUAAUGGAUAAUGACCAUACUUUCUAUGGCAACAAAUCCAUAAGUCAUGACUUCUGGUUAACAACUUAUAUUUUAGAAAAAAAUAAGAUUUCUACAGCAUACAAUGCUUCACAUAGUCUAAUAACUUAAUCCAGAAUAAUAUUAUAAAGAAAUCUUAGUCCGCGUUCACUUGUUCACAAACAACAUGAAACAUUGAAUGGAAGCAUGAUAAAUCUUUAUUUCCUAGUUUCUAAUCAAAGAUCAGAAAAGAGAACUCACACUUAUUUUUACUAAAGAACUCAAAUAUUACUUGGAGCAGAUAAAAGGAUAAAGGGAGAUCACUGACCUUUUUGCGGGCAGUGAACUAGGAGCGUCGUCGAUCAACUAUCGCACUUCGACCUCAGACUCGCUACCUCGGCUGAGCAAAAGAAAAAGCCCCUCUGUUUUGAAAUUGAAAACCAAAAAGAGAAAGAGUUGGUCGAGCUAGGAUUUUAGAAAAUUAGUGAGUUUCAGAGAAGGAGGAGGCGGCUCCCCGGUGGAUCGAAAAUGAGUUCCAAAGCAGAUAUUUAAAGAUAGAAGUUAAGGUUCUUCUAGGUUAGUUUGGGCGAGCAACUUUUGAGUGGGGUUAUGGUUCAAAAAUUGAACGUUGAGAUCCGAACGUUACCAUUUUUGAAGAGCUCAGCAGAAAUCAAAAGAAAACAUGAGAUUCCUUGGUCAAAAUCCUAAGCUUUCAGGGAUUUGCUUCAGAUCUUUUACCCAAAUGGUAAGAUAUGCUCUGUUAUGGAAAGAGUGAAGGUCAAGACUUAGCCAAAAUUGGAGGAAAAUUCCAAGAGAAAGCUCUGCCAUGGCAGAGAAUGAAAGAGACGAUGGAGAGAAAGGGGAAACGGGAAAAAGAGGAGCGAAAAUCAGAAGAAAACUUUAAUUCUUUUUUAGAUUUGAA